CCUACGGGAGGCAGCAGUGAGGAAUAUUGGUCAAUGGACGAGAGUCUGAACCAGCCAAGUAGCGUGAAGGAUGACUGCCCUAUGGGUUGUAAACUUCUUUUAUAAAGGAAUAAAACGAGGCACGUGUGCCUUUUUGCAUGUACUUUAUGAAUAAGGAUCGGAUAACUCCGUGCCAGCAGCCGCGGUACUACGGAGGAUCCGAGCGUUAUCCGGAUGUAUUGGGUUUAAAGGGAGCGUAGAUGGGUUGUUAAGUCAGUUGUGAAAGUUUGCGGCUCAACCGUAAAAUUGCAAUUGAUACUGGCAGUCUUGAGUACAGUUGAGGUAGGCGGAAUUCGUGGUGUAGCGGUGAAAUGCUGAGAUAUCACGAAGAACCCCGAUGGCGAAGGCAGCUUACUAAACUGUGACUGACAUUGAUGCGCGAAAGUGUGGGUAUCAAACAGGAUUAGAUACCCCAGUAGUC
rnacentral:rRNA from 1 species